rnacentral:rRNA from 1 species
GACGAACGCUGGCGGCGUGCUUAACACAUGCAAGUCGAACGGUGAAGGGGUCUGCUUUUGUGGGCCCUGGAUGAGUGGCGCACGGGUGAGUAACACGUGAGUAACCUGCCCCCUUCUUCUGGAUAACCGCAUGAAAGUGUGGCUAAUACGGGAUAUUCUGGGUCUGUCGCAUGAUGGGUCUGGGAAAGAUUGCGCCUUUGGGUGUUUUUGGUGGGGGAUGGGCUCGCGGCCUAUCAGCUUGUUGGUGGGGUGAUGGCCUACCAAGGCGGUGACGGGUAGCCGGCCUGAGAGGGUGGACGGUCACACUGGGACUGAGACACGGCCCAGACUCCUACGGGAGGCAGCAGUGGGGAAUAUUGCACAAUGGGCGCAAGCCUGAUGCAGCGACGCCGCGUGAGGGAGGGAGGCCUUCGGGUUGUAAACCUCUUUCGCCAGUGAAGCAGGCCUGCUCCUUGUGGGUGGGUUGACGGUAGCUGGAGAAGAAGCGCCGGCUAACUACGUG